AUUUCCUCUCAUUUUUGACAAAACAACCACCACUUUCAACCACCACCUAAAAUUCCUCCACCGCGAGCUAUAACUUCACCACCGUCUAAGGUUCUCUUCUCCCACUAUUUUAUUUUGAUCAUGGCCCUUCACCUCUACCGUCACCGCCGUGGAACAUCGUGAACCACCGCGACAAAACCUUCCUCCACCACUCCUUCUCUUUUCUCUCAAUAUUGUGAUCGAACCCUCCCACUAUUUUUAUAUUUUUUUCUCACCUCAUUGGACCAUCGUCUAAUCAUCGUC
rnacentral:lncRNA from 1 species